AUUUCACUUUUUUUUAGAUUUCUACUUCUUUUCUCCCAUUCUUUCAUCGUCCCCAAAUCGACACAAUCGAACCAUUAACAACCCAACCCCAGGGAAAGAACAGAAGCGGAGAUACAGAUUAGUAACUUUUGUUUCAAUGGAUAUUCAUUGAAUGGAAUGAAUUUCGAACGGGUUUUUAUUGAAUUCAACCUUUAAUUUUUGAAUGAGUUUACAUGAAAUGAAGAUUUAAUUGAUUAAUUUUGAUACGAAGCUUCAGUUAUACUGUCAGUUUUUCAGCAAAUGGCUAAUACUAUAAUUUGUGGACUUAACUGUUUGCUAAUUUUCCUGAUAGAAGAAACACAUUUAAAGUUCAAUUACAAUGAUAAGGUUACAUGCAAUAUGUAAGCAGUGCAUAUGUUAUAGAAGUGUAAGUUUUCCUGAUAGAAGAUGCAUGUUUAAGCUCAAUUACAAACCAAAAUUCACAUGCAGUAAGUAAGCAGUGUAAUGUGCUUGAAACAUCAUCAAUAGAUCUGUAUAGCAAAAACGUAUCCGUAAUGUAUCCAUAAGUAAGAAUAAUGGUCAUCUUUGAUUGAGUUGUCUUUGUGAUUUGUAGCAGGGAUCUGUGCUUAUUAUAGAAGCCGCUCAAGGUCCUAUUUGCUGGGGAUCGUAUUAGCGAAGCUGAAUCUGAACUGUCUAUGGGGGGACAAUAUAAUCAGCAAUCAGGUGGAGCUUGCUAUCAAGUGGUGACUCGCAGGACUAGCAUAGUCUAUGAAUGGUUGUAGUAGUUAUAAUGGCAGUGGUGGUCGACGUGGACGUGUGUCUAGGCACUCGGAUUACUGGGUGUUAGUUUAUGCAAGGUUAUGCCCAGUUGCGUCAAUAACAUUUUAUUGGUGUUGGUGGAAAAGCAAUACACGGUAAACUAAAGCCUCGAAAGUUCACUAGAUGCCUCAAAGGUUACAUGAAAACUUGGAAUUCAAGUCACUUUAAUAAUGCAAUCUCUGUAGUCUGGGAUUGUACUUCGAGAUUUGUUAUCUGAAAAUGAGUAAAAAGUAGAAGUCUCGUUGGAUGGAUGAGGUCUAUUGCUGGAAAAAAUAAUGUUUUCUUGCAAAUGCUUCUUUUGAAGUUACUGAACAGUGAAUGUUAUAUGCUACCAAAGAACUAUAACAUUGAGCAUCUUUGACUUACCUACAAAUGCUACCAUGAUUACAUCAGUGAGCAUCUUUGACUUACCUACAAAUGAUACCAUGAUUACAUCAGUGAUCAGUCUAAACGGUCAAUUAAAGACCUGUCUUAUAAAGUACUCGGUUUAGUUGUCAUUUUAUGAGUCAGUUACUGGGAUGUUCCAUGUGGCACUAGAGUGAAAGUUUUGGCAAAACGUUUGUUAUUGAUUCCUCACACAAGGUGGACUGUUUAUUUUAUAAGAUAGAUAGAUUGGACUACAGUGAUGUAGAUACAUGUAGAUUAUGAAUAAAGUGAUCCCUAAUGGCUAACAUCCUAACACUGCCUACAGCAAGCUAUUGAUUGGACUACAAUGCUCUGAAAGGGAACGGCACUCGCAUCGCGCGUGCUUUUUUGCUAGAGGGUUACCAAUUGUUUACAUCGCGAGUGCUCAUCCAGCACUAGAAUGCACCUUAGAACAGGUAGAAGAGGUGAAAAUCAUCUUCAGAGUCCUUCCAAUCUUUGCUUGUACAAUCAUGCUCAAUUGUUGUUUACCGCAACUUUCAGCGGCCACCAUGAACACUAAGCUUGGCUCCUUCACUCUCCCACCGGCUCCCCUUCCUGUGUUCCCCGUUCUCUUCAUCAUGCUCCUCGCACCACUUUACAAUCAUGUAAUUGUUCCAUUUGCAAGAAAAAUGACCAAAACAGAGAUGGGCGUUUCUCAUCUACAGCAUAUCGGUAUAGGGUUGUUUUUGUCUAUAGUCGCAAUGGCGGUGGCAGCUUUAGUUGUCAAUGGCGGUGGCAGCUUUAGUUGUCUAUGUCUAUAGUCGCAAUGGCGGUGGCAGCUUUAGUUGUCAAGCGAAAACGAGUGGCAACCCAUUCAGGUUUGCUGAACUCUGACGAGCCACUGCCCAUCACUUUCUUCUGGGUGGCUUUGCAGUUCUUGUUUCUUGUUCAGCUGACCUGUUUACCUUGGCUGGAUUACUUGAAUUUUUCUCCGCUGAAGCUCCUGCAAGUAUGAGAUCAUUGGCUACAGCCCUAACAUGGGAUUCAUUGGCAAUGGGAUAUUACAUGAGUUCUUGACUCGCUUCAACAGUGAGCAGUGUUACAGGGGGGAUGGGAAACACAAGGUGGCUCUCCGGUACCAACUUGAAUCACUACCACCUCCAGAGAUUUUACUGUCUCAUGUGUGUUUCAAGGGGUCUAAAUUUCGUGCACUAUCUCUUCUGGGCGAACCGCUACAAAUACAGAUCGACACAACAGGGUACAUAAAUGAAGCUUUCUAAUGUCAAAAGAAAUAGAAUUUAAGCUGUACUUACCUUUUCAAUCAUGGAUGCUGCCUCCAGAGUCCUCGGAA